UAAUAUUCAGGAGCCGGAAGAGGAAACAGCUAAUCAGGAAUACAAAGUCUCCAGCUGUGAACAGAGACUCAUCAGUGAAAUAGAGUACAGGCUAGAAAGGUCUCCUGUGGAUGAAUCAGGUGAUGAAGUUCAGUAUGGAGAUGUGCCUGUGGAAAAUGGAAUGGCACCAUUCUUUGAGAUGAAGCUGAAACAUUACAAGAUCUUUGAGGGAAUGCCAGUAACUUUCACAUGUAGAGUGGCUGGAAAUCCAAAGCCAAAGAUCUAUUGGUUUAAAGAUGGGAAGCAGAUCUCUCCAAAGAGUGAUCACUACACCGUUCAAAGAGAUCUCGAUGGGACAUGCUCCCUCCAUACCACAGCCUCCACCCUAGAUGAUGAUGGGAAUUAUACAAUUAUGGCUGCAAACCCUCAGGGCCGCAUCAGUUGUACUGGACGGCUAAUGGUACAGGCUGUCAACCAAAGAGGUCGAAGUCCCCGGUCUCCCUCAGGCCAUCCUCAUGUCAGAAGGUAUUUAACAUGUUCCUUCCCAGAAGUGUUACAUUAUUUUAUUUAUUACUAUAA
rnacentral:sRNA from 1 species